rnacentral:rRNA from 1 species
AGUGAACGCUGGCGGCGUGCCUAAUACAUGCAAGUCGAACGGAGUGGCGCACGGGUGUGUAAUGUAUAGCUAAUCUGCCCUACACUAGAGGACAACAGUUGGAAACGACUGCUAAUACUCUAUAGUAUAGGAUUAGGCUAUAUUGUAUCAGCUCGUUGGUGAGGUAAUGGCUCACCGAGGAUAUGACGCAUAACUGGGCUGAGAGGAAGAUGAGUCAAAGUGGAAGUGAGACACGGUCCAGACUCCUACGGGAGGCAGCAGUAGGGAAUAGUGCACAAUGGGGGAAACCCUGAAGCAGCAGCGCCGCGUAGAGGAUGACACUUUUGGGAGCGUAAACUCCUUUUGUUAGGGAAGCGGUACCUAACGAAUAAGCACCGGCUAACUCCGUGCCAGCAGCCGCGGUAAUUC